rnacentral:rRNA from 1 species
AGGACGAACGCUGGCGGCGUGCUUAACACAUGCAAGUCGAACGGUAAGGCCUUCGGGUACACGAGUGGCGAACGGGUGAGUAACACGUGGGUGAUCUGCCCUGCACUUUGGGAUAAGCCUGGGAAACUGGGUCUAAUACCGAAUAUGACCAUGGGAUGCAUGUCUUGUGGUGGAAAGCUUUUGCGGUGUGGGAUGGGCCCGCGGCCUAUCAGCUUGUUGGUGGGGUGAUGGCCUACCAAGGCGACGACGGGUAGCCGGCCUGAGAGGGUGUCCGGCCACACUGGGACUGAGAUACGGCCCAGACUCCUACGGGAGGCAGCAGUGGGGAAUAUUGCACAAUGGGCGCAAGCCUGAUGCAGCGACGCCGCGUGAGGGACGACGGCCUUCGGGUUGUAAACCUCUUUCAGUGCCGACGAGCGCAAGUGACGGUAGGCACAGAAGAAGGACCGGCCAACUACGUGCCAGCAGCCGC